CAGUAUCCGCGGGAAUACGGAGGGUGCAAGCGUUAAUCGGAAUUACUGGGCGUAAAGCGCACGCAGGCGGUUUGUUAAGUCAGAUGUGAAAUCCCCGAGCUUAACUUGGGAACUGCAUUUGAAACUGGCAAGCUAGAGUCUUGUAGAGGGGGGUAGAAUUCCAGGUGUAGCGGUGAAAUGCGUAGAGAUCUGGAGGAAUACCGGUGGCGAAGGCGGCCCCCUGGACAAAGACUGACGCUCAGGUGCGAAAGCGUGGGGAGCAAACAGGAUUAGAUACCCCAGUAGUCCCUGUCUCUUAUAC
rnacentral:rRNA from 1 species